UUUGUGUACCUACCUCUGUUGCUUUGGCGGGCCGCGGUCCUCCGCGGCCGCCCCCCUCCCCGGGGGGUGGCCAGCGCCCGCCAGAGGACCAUCAAACUCCAGUCAGUAAACGAUGCAGUCUGAAAAACAUUUAAUAAACUAAAACUUUCAACAACGGAUCUCUUGGUUCUGGCAUCGAUGAAGAACGCAGCGAAAUGCGAUAAGUAAUGUGAAUUGCAGAAUUCAGUGAAUCAUCGAAUCUUUGAACGCACAUUGCGCCCUUUGGUAUUCCGAAGGGCAUGCCUGUUCGAGCGUCAUUACAACCCUCAAGCUCUGCUUGGUAUUGGGCACCGUCCUUUGCGGGCGCGCCUCAAAGACCUCGGCGGUGGCGUCUUGCCUCAAGCGUAGUAGAACAUACAUCUCGCUUCGGAGCGCAGGGCGUCGCCCGCCGGACGAACCUUCUGAACUUUUCUCAAGGUUGACCUCGGAUCAGGUAGGGAUACCCGCUGAACUUAAGCAUA
rnacentral:rRNA from 1 species